UACACCUGUUCUCAUGCCGAACACAGAAGUUAAGCCCUAGAACGCCGGAAGUAGUUGGGGGUUGCCCCCUGUGAGAUAAGGUAGUCGCUUAGC
rnacentral:rRNA from 1 species